rnacentral:miRNA from 14 species
AAGGGGAUCUUUGUCACUAAGU